AUAUAAACAGAGCUACUGUACUGUUUCUUUAGCUCUCCCUCACUCAGAUGUCUUUUUUGUUUUUCUCCAAAAAAAAAAAGAAAAGAUCUCUUUUUUGUUCAAUUCUUCUAUAGGAAGAUCAUAAUGGCCGGAAAAGGAGAAGGACCGGCGAUCGGAAUCGAUCUCGGAACCACGUACUCCUGCGUCGGAGUGUGGCAACACAACCGUGUUGAGAUCAUAGCUAACGACCAGGGUAACAGAACGACGCCGUCUUACGUCGCUUUUACCGAUACGGAGCGUUUGAUCGGUGAUGCGGCUAAGAACCAGGUCGCCAUGAACCCUACCAACACCGUCUUCGAUGCCAAGAGGUUGAUUGGACGGAGAUUUAGUGAUGCCUCAGUUCAGAGUGAUAUUAAAUUAUGGCCAUUCAAGGUCUUUAAUGGACCUAGCGAGAAGCCCAUGAUUGUGGUCAACUAUAAGGGUGAGGAGAAGCAAUUUGUUGCUGAAGAAAUCUCAUCCAUGGUUCUAAUGAAGAUGCGUGAGAUUGCUGAGGCUUACCUAGGUUUCCAAAUCAAGAAUGCAGUGGUCACUGUCCCAGCAUACUUCAAUGACUCUCAACGUCAGGCUACCAAGGAUGCCAGUGUCAUUGCUGGUCUUAAUGUCAUGCGUAUCAUUAACGAGCCCACUGCUGCGGCCAUUGCUUAUGGUCUUGAUAAGAAGGCAACAAGUGUUGGCAAGAAGAAUGUUUUGAUUUUUGAUCUUGGUGGUGGUACCUUUGAUGUGUCGCUUCUUACUAUUGAAGAGGGUAUAUUUAAGGUGAAAGCCACUGCUAGUGACACCCAUCUUGGUGGUGAAGAUUUUGAUAACAGAAUGGUCUACCAUUUUGUCCAGGAGUUUAAGAGGAAAAACAAGGACAUCAGUGGCAACCUAAGAGCUCUUAGGAGAUUGAGGACAUCAUGUGAGAGGGCAAAGAGAACUCUCUCAUCCACUGCCCAGAUUACCAUUGAAAUUGAUUCUUUGUAUGAAGGAAUUGAUUUCUACUCCACCAUUACUCGUGCCAGAUUUGAGGAGCUUAACAUGGAUCUCUUCAGGAAGUGUAUGGAACCUGUUGAGAGGUGUUUGAGAGAUGCCAAGAUGGACAAGAGCACAAUCCACGAUGCUGUCCUUGUCGGUGGUUCAACUAGAAUUCCCAAGGUCCAUCAGCUUUUACAAGACUUCUUUAACGGGAAGGAGCUCUGCAAGAGCAUCAACCCUGAUGAGGCCGUUGCUUUUGGUGCUACAGUCUAGGCAGCUAUUUUGAGCGGUGAGGGCAAUGAGAAGGUGCAGGAUCUUCUGCUCUUGGAUGUUACCCCUCUCUCCCUUGGUUUGGAAACUGCCGGUGGUGUCAUGACUGUGUUAAUUCCUAGGGGCACUACCAUCCCCACAAAGAAGGAACAGGUGUUCUCUACCUAUUCCGAUGACCAGCCUGGUAUUUUGAUCCAGGUCUAUGAGGGUGAAAGAACGAGGACCAGGGACAACAACUUGCUUGGUAAAUUUGAGCUUUCAGGAAUCCCUACUGCUCCCAGGGGUGUUCCUAUGAUCACAGUGUGCUUUGACUUUGAUGCUAACGGUAUCUUGAAUGUGUCUGCUAAGGACAAGACAAUCGGUCAAAAGAACAAGAUCACCAUUACCAAUGACAAGGGUAGACUCUCAAAGGAUGAAAUCGAGAAGAUGGUACAAGAGGUAAAGAAAUACAAGUUUGAGGAUGAAGAGCUCAAAAAGAAGGUUGAGACCAAGAAUGCUUUGGAGAAUUAUGCAUACAACAUGAGGAACACAAUGAAGGAUGAGAAGAAUGGUGCCAAGCUUGCACCAGCUGAUAAGAAGAAGAUCGAGGAUGCCAUUAAGCAGGCGAUCAAAUGGUUGGAUUAGCAACCAAUUUGCAGAGGUUGAUGAGUUUGAAGGCAAGAUGAAGGAGUUGGAGAGUAUUUGCAACCCAAUCAUCUCCAAGAUGUACCAGAGUGCUAGUGGUGAAAUGCCUGGAGCUGUUGAUGAUGUACCUGCUGGAGGAAGUGGCGCUGGCCCCAAGAGUGAGGAAGUCGACUAUAAUGAUGAAACUUUUGAUGUCCCAGACUCUGAGAAACAAAAGCCAUUACCAUCCCUUGGCAACCUCUCAGAUUAUUCUCUGAAGCAAUUUUCAUUUGAAGAUUUAGCCAAGGCAACUAACAAUUUCUCCGAAUCCCUUGGUGAAGGUGGUUUUGGUUAUGUUCAUAAAGGAACCCUUUCAGGUGGCAAAAAGGUUGCAGUUAAGCAGUUGAAAUCUGGAAGUGGACAGGGGGAGAAGGAAUUCCGGGCAGAGGUUAAUAUCAUUAGCCGUAUCCAUCACAAAAACCUUGUUUCACUGGUUGGAUACUGCAUAGAUGGGCCACAUAGAAUGCUUGUUUAUGAGUUUGUCCCAAACAAAACAUUGGAUUUUCAUCUACAUGGAGAGAGGGCACCGACUCUGAGCUGGCCAAAUAGAAUGAAAAUAGCUCUAGGCGCUGCAAAAGGAUUGGCAUAUCUGCUUGAGGAUUGUCAGCCUAAGAUCACUCACCGUGACAUCAAGGCAGCUAAUAUUCUUAUUGAUGAUAACUUUGAUGCAAAGGUUGCAGAUUUUGGGCUUGCUAGGUUUUUACCAGAUGCUGAUGCUUACUACACUAGAGUAAUGGGAACUCUUGGUUAUUUGGAUCCAAUUUAUUAUAAUGAUGGACAGCUCACUGAUAAGUUGGAUGUUUACUCCUUUGGUGUUGUGCUUUUGGAGUUGAUUACUGGACUCAAGCCUAUCAGACAAAAUCCACCCUUCAACAUGGUUAAUUGGGCAAAGCCUUUGCUCCCACCAGCUUUGAAAAAGAGGAAAUUUGACGAUCUCGUUGAUAAAAGGUUGGAAAAGAACUUUGACUCUAAAGAAAUGGCUCGAAUGGUUAGUUGUGCUGCUAAAUGCGUGUGUCUAUCAUAUGAGGAACGGCCAGGAAUGAGCCAGAUACUUCGAGAGUUAGAAGGAGAUCUUUCUCAAGCCGAAAAAGGAUUUCGCUGGUGGUGGCCCAAAAAUACUUCCUAAAUAGCCCGAAUAUAGAUAUGUAAGAGAAAUGCUAUGUUAAGUGCCAGGUAGAGCAUUCUCAUCAACAAUUGUAAAAAUUUUAGC